rnacentral:rRNA from 1 species
GAUGAACGCUGGCGGCGUGCCUAAUACAUGCAAGUCGAGCGAACAGACGAGGAGCUUGCUCCUCUGACGUUAGCGGCGGACGGGUGAGUAACACGUGGAUAACCUACCUAUAAGACUGGGAUAACUUCGGGAAACCGGAGCUAAUACCGGAUAAUAUAUUGAACCGCAUGGUUCAAUAGUGAAAGACGGUUUUGCUGUCACUUAUAGAUGGAUCCGCGCCGCAUUAGCUAGUUGGUAAGGUAACGGCUUACCAAGGCAACGAUGCGUAGCCGACCUGAGAGGGGGAUCGGCCGCACUGGAACUGAGACACGGUCCAGACUCCUACGGGAGGCAGCAGUAGGGAAUCUUCCGCAAUGGGCGAAAGCUUGACGGAGCAACGCCGCGUGAGUGAUGAAGGUCUUCGGAUCGUAAAACUCUGUUAUUAGGAAGAACAAAUGUGUAAGUAACUAUGCACGUCUUGACGGUACCUAAUCAGAAAGCCACGGCUAACUACGUG